rnacentral:tRNA from 1 species
UAGCUCAGAGGGUAAAGCAUCUGCCUGCAAUGCAGGAGACCUGGGUUUGAUUCCCUG